UACGUAGGCAGCGAGCGUUGUUCGGAGUUACUGGGCGUAAAGCGCGUGUAGGCGGUUGUCCAAGUCGGGUGUGAAAGCCUUGAGCUCAACUCAAGAAAUGCACUCGAUACUGGGCGACUAGAGUGCCGGAGAGGAUAGUGGAAUUCCCAGUGUAGUGGUGAAAUACGUAGAGAUUGGGAAGAACACCAGUGGCGAAGGCGGCUACCUGGACGGUUACUGACGCUA
rnacentral:rRNA from 1 species